rnacentral:rRNA from 1 species
AUUGAACGCUGGCGGCAUGCUUUACACAUGCAAGUCGGACGGCAGCAUAAAAGAGCUUGCUCUUUUGAUGGCGAGUGGCGAACGGGUGAGUAAUGCAUCGGAACGUACCGAGUAGUGGGGGAUAACUGUCCGAAAGGAUGGCUAAUACCGCAUAUUCUCUGAGGAGGAAAGCAGGGGACCUUAGGGCCUUGCGCUAUUUGAGCGGCCGAUGUCUGAUUAGCUAGUUGGUGGGGUAAGAGCCCACCAAGGCGACGAUCAGUAGCGGGUCUGAGAGGAUGAUCCGCCACACUGGGACUGAGACACGGCCCAGACUCCUACGGGAGGCAGCAGUGGGGAAUUUUGGACAAUGGGCGCAAGCCUGAUCCAGCCAUGCCGCGUGUAUGAAGAAGGCCUUCGGAUUGUAAAGUACUUUUGUCAGGGAAGAAAAGCCUGAGGAUAACACCCUCAGGUCAUGACGGUACCUGAAGAAUAAGCACCGGCUAACUACGUGCCAGCAGCCGCGGUAAUACGUAGGGUGCGAGCGUUAAUCGGAAUUACUGGGCGUAAAGCGAGCGCAGACGGUUAUUUAAGCAAGAUGUGAAAGCCCCGGGCUCAACCUGGGAACUGCGUUUUGAACUGGGUAACUAGAGUGUGUCAGAGGGGGGUAGAAUUCCACGUGUAGCAGUGAAAUGCGUAGAGAUGUGGAGGAAUACCGAUGGCGAAGGCAGCCCCCUGGGAUAACACUGACGUUCAUGCUCGAAAGCGUGGGUAGCAAACAGG